CCUACGGGUGGCAGCAGUGAGGAAUAUUGGUCAAUGGACGAGAGUCUGAACCAGCCAAGUAGCGUGAAGGAUGACUGCCCUAUGAGUUGUAAACUUCUUUUAUAUGGGAAUAAAAUGUUCCACGUGUGGCCAGACGAGAGUACCGUACGAAUAAGCAUCGGCUAACUCCGUGCCAGCAGCCGCGGUAAUACGGGGGAUGCAAGCGUUAUCCGGAUUUAUUGGGUUUAAAGGGUGCGUAGGCUGUAAGGUAAGUCAGCGGUGAAAUGCCCCGGCUCAACGGGGUGAACUGCCAUUGAUACUGUCGUGCUGGAGGGCGGAUGCAGUAGGAGGAAUGUGUGGUGUAGCGGUGAAAUGCAUAGAUAUCACACAGAACACCGAUUGCGAAGGCAGCUCACGAAUCCGCGAUUGACGCUGAUGCACGAAAGCGUGGGUAGCAAACAGGAUUAGAUACCCUUGUAGUC
rnacentral:rRNA from 1 species